AGCAGGCAGAUCCAAUUUUCUGCCACCGAAUACAUUAGCAUGGGAUAAUGGAAUAGGACCCUGUCCUCCUAUUUUCAGUUGGUUUUGGCAGCGCGAGGACUAGGGUAAUGAUUAAUAGGGAUAGUUGGGGGCAUUAAUAUUUAAUUGUCAGAGGUGAAAUUCUUGGAUUUAUGAAAGAUUAACUUCUGCGAAAGCAUCUGCCAAGGAUGUUUUCAUUAAUCAAGAACGAAAGUUAGGGGAUCGAAGACGAUCAGAUACCGUCGUAGUCUUAACCAUAAACGAUGCCGACCAGCGAUUAGGAGACGUUGAAUACAAAACACCACCAUCGGCGCGGUCGUCCUUGGCGUCGGUCCUUCACGGGGCCGGCGCGAGGGCGGCU
rnacentral:rRNA from 1 species